rnacentral:rRNA from 1 species
AUUGAACGCUGGCGGCAGGCCUAACACAUGCCAGUCGAGCGGAUGAAGGGAGCUUGCUCCUGGAUUCAGCGGCGGACGGGGGAGUAAUGCCUAGGAAUCUGCCUGGUAGUGGGGGAUAACGUCCGGAAACGGGCGCUAAUACCGCAUACGUCCUGAGGGAGAAAGUGGGGGAUCUUCGGACCUCACGCUAUCAGAUGAGCCUAGGUCGGAUUAGCUAGUUGGUGGGGUAAAGGCCUACCAAGGCGACGAUCCGUAACUGGUCUGAGAGGAUGAUCAGUCACACUGGAACUGAGACACGGUCCAGACUCCUAAGGGAGGCAGCAGUGGGGAAUAUUGGACAAUGGGCGAAAGCCUGAUACAGCCAUGCCGCGUGUGUGAAGAAGGUCUUCGGAUUGUAAAGCACUUUAAGUUGGGAGGAAGGGCAGUAAGUUAAUACCUUGCUGUUUUGACGUUACCAACAGAAUAAGCACCGGCUAACUUCGUG